rnacentral:rRNA from 1 species
UCCUCCAAGGCUAAAUACUCCUGACUGACCGAUAGUGAACCAGUACCGUGAGGGAAAGGCGAAAAGAACCCCGGCGAGGGGAGUGAAAAAGAACCUGAAACCGUGUACGUACAAGCAGUGGGAGCACCCUUUUGGGUGUGACUGCGUACCUUUUGUAUAAUGGGUCAGCGACUUAUAUUCUGUAGCAAGGUUAACCGAAUAGGGGAGCCGGAGGGAAACCGAGUCUUAACCGGGCGUUAAGUUGCAGGGUAUAGACCCGAAACCCGGUGAUCUAGCCAUGGGCAGGUUGAAGGUUGGGUAACACUAACUGGAGGACCGAACCGACUAAUGUUGAAAAAUUAGCGGAUGACCUGUGGCUGGGGGUGAAAGGCCAAUCAAACCGGGAGAUAGCUGGUUCUCCCCGAAAGCUAUUUAGGUAGCGCCUCGUGAAUUCAUCUCCGGGGGUAGAGCACUGUUUCGGCUAGGGGGCCAUCCCGGCUUACCAACCCGAUGCAAACUGCGAAUACCGGAGAAUGUUAUCACGGGAGACACACGGCGGGUGCUAACGUCCGUCGUGAAGAGGGAAACAACCCAGACCGCCAGCUAAGGUCCCAAAGUCAUGGUUAAGUGGGAAACGAUGUGGGAAGGCCCAGACAGCCAGGAUGUUGGCUUAGAAGCAGCCAUCAUUUAAAGAAAGCGUAAUAGCUCACUGGUCGAGUCGGCCUGCGCGGAAGAUGUAACGGGGCUAAACCAUGCACCGAAGCUGCGGCAGCGACACUCAGGUGUUGUUGGGUAGGGGAGCGUUCUGUAAGCCUGUGAAGGUGUGUCGUGAGGCAUGCUGGAGGUAUCAGAAGUGCGAAUGCUGACAUAAGUAACGAUAAAGCGGGUGAAAAGCCCGCUCGCCGGAAGACCAA